rnacentral:rRNA from 1 species
GUUGAUCCUGCGGGAGAUUGCUGCUAUCUGGAUUCGACUAAGGUAUGCAAGUCAGAGGGCCUCUUCGGAGGCACAGGCGAAAUGCUCAGUAACACGUCAAUAAUCUGCCCUUAAGUUUGGGACAACCUCGGAAAACUGAGGCUAAACCCGGAUAGGUAAAAGAAACUGGAAUGUUCUUUUAUUUAAAGGCAACGCUUAAGGAUGAGUUGGCGGCCGAUUAGGCUGUUGGUGGGGUAAAGGCCCACCAAACCUCAGAUCGGUAGGGGCCUUGAGAGAGGGAGCCCCGAGAAGGGUACUGAGACACUGACCCUAGCCCUACGGGGUGCAGCAACUGCGAAACCUUUACACUGUACGCAAGUGCGAUAAGGGAAUCCUGAGUGCUCAUGCAUUGCAUGGGCUUUUGCUAAGAGUAAACAUCUUAGCGAAUAAGUGGUGGGUAAGACGGGUGCCAGCCGCCGCGGUAACACCUGCGCCACGAGUGGCAAUCAUUUUUAUUGGGCCUAAAGCGUUCGUAGCCGGCUUAGUAAAUCUUCUGUGAGAUCGUUGGGCUUAACUUAACGGUAUGCAGGAAAAACUGCUAGGCUUGAGACCGGGAGGGGUUAGGAGAAUUCUUGGGGGAACGGUAAAAUGUGAUAAUCCCAAGAGGACUACCUGUGGCGAAGGCGCCUAACCAGAACGGUUCUGACGGUGAGGGACGAAAGCUAGGGGAGCGAACCGGAUUAGAUACCCGAGUAGUCCUAGCCGUAAACGCUGCGAGUUAGAUGUUGCAUAUUCUACAUGGAUGUGCAGUGUCGGAGCGAAGGCAUUAAACUCGCCGCCUGGGAAGUACGGUCGCAAGGCUGAAACUUAAAGGAAUUGGCGGGGAGACACUACAAGGAGUGGAGCGUGCGGUUUAAUCCAAUUCCACGCGGAGAAUCUCACCAGAGGCGACGGCAGGAUGAAGGUCAGAUUGAAUGUCUUACCUGACGAGCCGAGAGGUAGUGCAUGGCCGCCGUCAGCUCGUACCGUAAGGUGUCCAGUUAAGUCUGGCAACGAGCGAGACCUAUACUUAUAAUUGCUAACAAGUCCUUUAGGAUGAUUGAGCACAUUAUGAGGACUGCUCUGGAAACAGAGAGGAAGGUGUAGGCUACGGUAGGCCUGUAUGCUCCGAAUCUUCUGGGCUACACGCGCGCAACAAUGGUAAGGACAAUGGGAUACAACUCUGAAAAGAGAAGUUAAACCUCGAAACCUUAUCUUAGUUCGGAUUGAGGGUUGUAACUCACCCUCAUGACGCCGGAAUUCCUAGUAAUCAUGGUUCAUCAUACCAUGGUGAAUAUGUCCCUGUCUCUUGCACACACCGCCCGUCAACUCAACCGAGCAAAGUUAAGAUGAUGCUUAAUUUUUAAUUAAGUUGAAUCUUAGCUUAGUGAGGCGGGGUAAGUCGUCACAAGGUC